CCUACGGGAGGCAGCAGUGGGGAAUAUUGGGCAAUGGGCGCAAGCCUGACCCAGCAACGCCGCGUGAAGGAAGAAGGCUUUCGGGUUGUAAACUUCUUUUCUGAGGGACGAAGAAAGUGACGGUACCUCAGGAAUAAGCCACGGCGAACUACGUGCCAGCAGCCGCGGUAAUACUGAGGUGGCAAGCGUUAUCCGGAUUGAUUGGGUGUAAAGGGCGUGUAGGCAGGAAAGCAAGUCAGAUGGGAAAACUCAGGGCUAAACCCUGAUCCUGCAUUUGAAACUGUUUUUAUUGAGUGCUGGGGAGGCAAUCGGAAUUCCGUGUGUAGCGGUGAAAUGCGUAGAUAUACGGAGGAACACCAGUGGCGAAGGCGGAUUGCUGGACAGUAACUGACGCUGAGGCGCGAAAGCGUGGGGAGCAAACAGGAUUAGAUACCCCAGUAGUC
rnacentral:rRNA from 1 species